rnacentral:lncRNA from 1 species
UCCAUUUUCAUUCCCCCAUACCAAACGACCCCUUAAGGAAUAAUCGUCAACUUCCACGUUCCAAGUAGAGUGAUAUCAAAAAAACAAAGUAGUUUGCUAAGCUGGUACUUUACAAUGAUGAUCAGUUGGCCGCUAAUCCUACUCCCCUAAAUGAUGACCGUAUGUUGGGCCACGCUAACAUUCCAUCUAAAAAAUUAACUAAAUGAGAAUUAAAAGAUGGAACUAUAAUUGAUGAUAUUUGAAAAAUUAUAAUUUAAAAAUGUCCGAUGUAUUUAACUCAAAUCCCGGCUAAUCGUGAUUUAAUUAAUUAAUUAAUUGUAACGUACGUACCUGAGGCUAUUACCGAACGGGCCGUUAACCGCCGGCGGGGAGAUAUCCGACAUAGGAAUAUGGAAAGCCUCCGACCAAGCGAGCUGCUUCAAAC